AUGAACGCUGGCGGCGUGCCUUAAACAUGCAAGUCGAACGGGAAGGUCGGGCUUCGGCCCGGCUGGAGAGUGGCGCAAUGGUGAGUAACACGUAGGUGACCUGCCCCUUAGAGGGGGAUAACCACUGGAAACGGUGGCUAAUACCCCGUACGCUCCGCACAUUUAGAAAGUGUGGAGGAAAGCUAAGGCGCUUAGGGAGGGGCCUGCGUCCCAUCAGCUAGUUGGUAGGGUAACGGCCUACCAAGGCAAUGACGGGUAGGGGACCUGAGAGGGUGACCCCCCACACUGGCACUGACACACGGGCCAGACUCCUACGGGAGGCAGCAGUUAGGAAUAUUGCACAAUCGGCGAAAGCCGGAUGCAGCGACGCCGCGUGAGUGAAGAAGCCCCUCGGGGUGUAAAACUCUUUUCUAGGGGACGAUAAUGACGGUACCCUAGGAAUAAGGAUCGGCUAACUACGUGCCAGCAGCCGCGGUAAGACGUAGGAUCCAAGCGUUAUCCGGAUUUACUGGGCGUAAAGAGCGCGCAGGCGGCCAGCUAAGUUGGAGGUUAAAGCUCCCGGCUCAACUGGGAGAGGCCCUUCAAGACUGGUUGGCUAGAGGGCAGGAGAGGGACGUGGAAUUUCGGGUGGAGUAGUGAAAUGCGUAGAUAUCCGAAGGAACACCAGUGGCGAAGGCGGCGUCCUGGACUGCACCUGACGCUCAGGCGCGAAAGCUAGGGUAGCGAACGGGAU
rnacentral:rRNA from 1 species